AGAGUUUGAUCAUGGCUCAGAACAAACGCUGGCGGCGUGCCUAAUACAUGCAAGUCGAACGAGGUAGCAAUACCAAGUGGCGCACGGGUGAGUAACACGUGGAUAAUCUGCCCUUCAGUGGGGAACAACUAUCCGAAAGGAUAGCUAAUACCGCAUAAGACCACAGGUACCGAGGUACUAGGGGUCAAAGGAGCAAUUCGCUGAAGGAUGAGUCCGCGCAGGAUUAGCUAGUUGGUGGGGUAAAGGCCUACCAAGGCGACGAUCCUUAGCUGGUCUGAGAGGAUGAUCAGCCACACUGGAACUGAGACACGGUCCAGACUCCUACGGGAGGCAGCAGUAGGGAAUAUUGCGCAAUGGGCGAAAGCCUGACGCAGCGACGCCGCGUGAGUGAUGAAGGCCUUAGGGUCGUAAAGCUCUGUUGUAAGGGAAAAUUAUGAUGGUACCUUAUAAGAAAGGACCGGCUAACUUCGUGCCAGCAGCCGCGGUAAGACGAGGGGUCCUAGCGUUGUUCGGAAUCAUUGGGCGUAAAGCGCAUGUAGGCGGCCUAUCAAGUCAGGUGUGAAAUCCCUGGGCUCAACCCAGGACGUGCACUUGAUACUGGUGGGCUUGAAUAUAGGAGAGGAUAGUGGAAUUCCUGGUGUAGUGGUGAAAUACGUAGAUAUCAGGAGGAACACCGGUGGCGAAGGCGGCUAUCUGGCCUAAUAUUGACGCUGAGAUGCGAAAGUGCGGGGAUCAAACAGGAUUAGAUACCCUAGUAGUCC
rnacentral:rRNA from 1 species